CUUCAUUUCACAAUCGCUUCCCUCUUUUUCCCAAGAGUACAACCAUCGCCCCUGGCGCCACCAUCACCACCACUGUUACUAGCACCACCGCAAUCAACACUUCUGCCAACUUUCAUGAAAACCAAAAUUAAAAGGUGUGAAGUAGUCAGAUGUCAAAGAAAAUGACUUGAAUAUUUUGAGUCGGAAUUUGAGGCUUGGUUACAUGGAGGGCGUGUAUCAUUUGUGGUGGUGGAUAGUAACCUGUUGCAUUUCUAGUCUGGAUUUGUUGCACUUAUUAGUGGCGUUCAAGCAACUAGACAAAUGUAUUUAUCUGUUUAUAUUACACAAUAAGCAUAUGUCUCAUGACAUGAUUGUGGUUUCAUGGAGAUAAUAUUAUCUUCAGGUUAUUGUUGCUAUUGGUUUUGCUGCUGUGAGGUUGUGUAAUAUGGUGUUUGAGGUGCGCAGGUUUUACAUCAAAUUUUUGUCCACGGUGAGGUUGUCUUUAUGUCUCACAGAGAUUGGCGAAGUAUACUUGCAAGGCAUUAAUUAUUUUGACUCCUGAAGUCGCAUGUGUUCAGUUUUGUUUCUUCACCAUGUUUAAAGUGAAGGUGUGGAUGGUUUUCUAGUCUUGUGUUUGGGGUGGUCUGUGCAAGGUAACGAACCUGUUGGCGCUUAAGUUCUUCCAUGGUCUUUGUUCCUUAUAAGGUGUUACAAGAAGAUACUAGUGUUAGUUUGUGUUACUGUCAUGUGAUGGCUAAAGCUUGAUUCAUUAGUUUCUUUGAAGCUCAAAAUGUUAGUGCUCAGUUAAGGUUGUUUGAAUUGCUUGCCAAAGAAUUAUUGGUUUCUGUUGCUUGCGGUGUUUUUUUGUUUUCCGGACUUAGUGAUUGUUUUGAAGGUGAAGUUUUGGGUGAUUUGGGAAGUCUCAGAACUGUUUGAUAUGUCUGAGAAGACAUUUAUUUGUUGCUUCACAGCAAGUUCAUUUCUUAAAUUAAUGAAUAUAUGAGAAGAAGCAGUCGAGUUGUGACGAUUGGUCUAGUAUUUUCGAUGUUGGUAUGGUGAUUUUUCCUCCAAGUGUUUGCAGGGAUCCUACCCAAGUUAGUAAGACGUCACAGAAGUGAUAGAGGUGCUUUUGAGUGUAUGUUUGUUUUGCUGGGAAUCGGGUAUUCACCUGAUGGGAAGGAACAAUUUUGUGAAUGUCGGUCUUUUAUCAUUCCAUUUCUGUUCAAUUUGUUCCGAGGGAGCAACAGUACUAUGCAUAAGGUUAAACUGGCCUGAUAUAUGUUGAGGAUGGCAACAACAUGAUGCAAUUGAAACUAAAAUUGAAAAAGCGUCUUCCAAAUAUGCACAGAGUGCUCUUGAAUUGCUUGGAGGUGUCAGUGUUUUCUGGAGAUGCACGAAGUACUCUUAAACCGUUGGAAAAAUGUCUAUGAAGACAUAGGCGUGCCUUUGAAGAAAUGACUUAAAGGUCGGGUGAUAGCUACUUGAAUUCUGUGAAGGCUUCAAUGCUAGGAUUUAAGAUGACUUAAUUGUCAGAGUCAGUGGCAUCUCAGAUGUCACAUCAAUGCAAUGGCUGGAAUGUCGGAACUGCAAUUAUCAAUAGUUCCGGGACAUGUAUCCGAUGAAUAUCACAGAGGUGAGCAGUAAACAUUUUUUUUUUUUCUGUAAUGCUUACCGGAGUAUGCACCAAGGGGGAGUGUCGCAAAUUAGUGCACACUUAUGUCCUAUUAUUUUGGGUGUUAGUUGAUAUCAGUGUAAGUGGUGUAUUUUAGUGGUCAGAGUGGCAGUAGUUGCAAGAACUAGUCUUAGUGGUCGAGUAGGCUAGUUGAGAAUUAUUAGGAGUUUUAAGAGGUCUUCUUUAUUUGUUAUGUAACAUUAGCAAGUGGUUGUUUUAGGAGCAAGUCGAGCAUGUGCUGUCACCGUGUAGUAUAAAUAGAGUCAUUUGUAAUGGAAAAUAAAUGUAUUCCAAGAUUAAUGAAAAUGUAACCAUUAAGGUUCU